GGAAAAAAAUUAAAAAGUUAUUCGACUUUAAAAUGUUUAGGGCCGAACAAAUGAUCGACACCACACUUGGCUGUAAGGUUUGCAAAACUCAUCCAACAUGGGUUUGUUGAACAUUGUUCGAAAAUAUUGGACAAAAUUAGACGCUACGUACAAAAAAUAAAAUGUGGGGCUUGGAAGUUGACACUACAUUACGAUUAAAUGAAAAAAUAUUACAGUUAUUUCACGGAAAUCUCAAGUAAAAGGUCCGACCAACUUUUUUCAAUUAUAUUGUUCAAGAAAAAAAAGACUUUAAAACACUCUUUCUCCAAACCCAUGAAUUGCUAUACUUAUAAUAAAUACAUAAUUAACGCGUAUAAAUAUACGAAAUUAUUUAAUUUGUACUCUUUUAAGUAUCGAAAACGCUUGAAAACGGUCCAGCAAAUUAGUUUUGAUCGUUUUCAAUAGAAAUAUACUGCCCAACAUUAUUAUUUCCUAUUUUAAACCCCUUUAUUCCUCCAACACAAUAAGUUACGCUUUAACGGUACGUAAAAUACUCGUGUGUAAUAAUGGAAAACAAUUAAAUUAUAGAUUCUGAGCGGAACAAUUUAUG